rnacentral:rRNA from 1 species
UUAAUAUGGAGAGUUUGAUCCUGGCUCAGAGUGAACGCUGGCGGCGUGCCUAAUACAUGCAAGUCGAACGGACAAGUAAGAGCUUGCUCUUAUGAGUUAGUGGCGCACGGGUGAGUAAUGUAUAGCUAAUCUGCCCUACACUAGAGGACAACAGUUGGAAACGGCUGCUAAUACUCUAUACUCCUGUCUUACAUAAGUUAGAUAGGGAAGUUUUCGGU